rnacentral:rRNA from 1 species
UACAGAGGUCUCAAGCGUUGUUCGGAUUCAUUGGGCGUAAAGGGUUCGUAGGCGGUGCGGCAAGUCGGGAGUGAAAUCUCUGGGCUUAACCCAGAGGCUGCUUCCGAAACUGCUGUGCUUGAGUGUGGGAGAGGCGCGUGGAAUUGCAGGUGUAGCGGUGAAAUGCGUAGAUAUCUGCAGGAACACCCGUGGCGAAAGCGGCGCGCUGGACCACUACUGACGCUGAGGAACAAAAGCUAGGGGAGCAAACAGG